UGCCAGCCGCCGCGGUAAUACGGAGGGUGCAAGCGUUGUUCGGAAUUAUUGGGUUUAAAGGGUGCGUAGGCGGAAUAAUAAGUCAGUGGUGAAAUCCUGCGGCUCAACCGUAGAACUGCCAUUGAUACUGAUAGGCUUGAGUACAGACGAGGUAGGCGGAAUUUAUGGUGUAGCGGUGAAAUGCAUAGAUACCAUAAAGAACACCGAUAGCGAAGGCAGCUUACUAGGCUGAGACUGACGCUGAGGCACGAAAGCGUGGGGAGCGAACAGGAUUAGAUA
rnacentral:rRNA from 1 species